rnacentral:rRNA from 1 species
AGUGAACGCUGGCGGUAGGCCUAACACAUGCAAGUCGAACGGCAGCACAGUAAGAGCUUGCUCUUACGGGUGGCGAGUGGCGGACGGGUGAGGAAUACAUCGGAAUCUACUUUUUCGUGGGGGAUAACGUAGGGAAACUUACGCUAAUACCGCAUACGACCUACGGGUGAAAGCAGGGGAUCUUCGGACCUUGCGCGAUUGAAUGAGCCGAUGUCGGAUUAGCUAGUUGGCGGGGUAAAGGCCCACCAAGGCGACGAUCCGUAGCUGGUCUGAGAGGAUGGUCAGCCACACUGGAACUUAGACACGGUCCAGACUCCUACGGGAGGGAGCAGUGGGGAAUAGUGGACAAUGGGGGGAAGCCUGAUCCAGCCAUACCGCGUGGGUGAAGAAGGCCUUCGGGUUGUAAAGCCCUUUUGUUGGGAAAGAAAAGCAGCAGGUUAAUACCCCGCUGUUCUGACGGUACCCAAAGAAUAAGCACCGGCUAACUUCGUG